GCUCCAGCUUCCUCCGGUCGUCGCAAGCCAUUUCUGAUGUCAGAAAUGAUGGAUAGGUCAUCCUCCAAUCACAGCUUCCCCCCCGAGGGACCCAGGAAGAGGCUUUGCGACAGGCUGGAGUUUAAAAGAUAAGGGGUAGAGGAUUGGGCCGUUUUCUUCAUCAGAAUUAGUAGACCUUCCCAUGUGCUGUCUGCUAACAGGGGAUGCCAGUUAUCCUUGUUAUGAAUGGCUUCUGACACGCUAUAAUAACCCCCAACUCAGGAAACAUAUUUG